CGUGAUCGGAGGUGAACACAUACGCUGUUCUAGCAUCAUGAUCAAAGAAGUCUUCCACCACAGACACCAGCUCAGCCACACCAGUGUCUACUAGACCAAUAUUGUCAAGACUGGCCCUCAGACUGGAGUUAGACUUCGCUGACUGGAAGAAUGACUGGUGAAGGGGAAAAGAAACAUGGUUGGAUUUGUUAAAGAUGGCAUGUGAAAACCAUCACUGAUAAUACAAAGGGAAUCUGGCCCUAACAUUAACCACUACUUUCACAUGAAGUUUGUAGCAGCCAUUAUAUAAUUUAUUGAAUUGACUGAAUCUCACAUCUCAAAGGAAUGUUUUUCCUUGCUGACGAUAAAUAUAACAGGGGAAAAUAUAGAUUUUACACUAAAAAAGAAGCCAUCCAAAAAUAUAGAUUCAUCUCAACAUGCAUCAAUAUUCUCAGGAACUCCAAUACCAUACUUUGACUUGAGUGAACACCCAGCUGUCCAGCCUGGAGGCGUCUGUGGAGGCGAAGUCUUCCUCCGCUGCUGGCAAACAUCGGCAGAAUGUCAGGGCUGCCCCAGCACCAGGUGUGUCUGCUUUCAUUGAACACAGAGUCAAACUCUACAGGAUUCU